AGCUUGCUCUCGGGUGACGAGCGGCGGACGGGUGAGUAAUGUCUGGGAAACUGCCUGAUGGAGGGGGAUAACUACUGGAAACGGUAGCUAAUACCGCAUAACGUCGCAAGACCAAAGUGGGGGACCUUCGGGCCUCAUGCCAUCAGAUGUGCCCAGAUGGGAUUAGCUAGUAGGUGGGGUAAYGGCUCACCUAGGCGACGAUCCCUAGCUGGUCUGAGAGGAUGACCAGCCACACUGGAACUGAGACACGGUCCAGACUCCUACGGGAGGCAGCAGUGGGGAAUAUUGCACAAUGGGCGCAAGCCUGAUGCAGCCAUGCCGCGUGUGUGAAGAAGGCCUUCGGGUUGUAAAGCACUUUCAGCGGGGAGGAAGGCGRURAGGUUAAUAACCUYRUCGAUUGACGUUACCCGCAGAAGAAGCAC
rnacentral:rRNA from 1 species